GUGCUUGCUUCAGCAGCACAUAUACUAAAAUUGGAACAACACAGGGGAGAUUAGCAUGGUCUCUGCACAAGGGUGACAUGCACAUUCAUGAAGUGUUCCAUAUUUUC
ensembl:snRNA U6 U6 spliceosomal RNA